UACGUAGGCAGCAAACGUUGUUCGGAAUUACUGGGCGUAAAGAGUGUGUAGGCGGUUCUGUAAGUUUGGUGUGAAAUCUCCUGGCUUAACUGGGAGGGCGCGCCGAAAACUGCAAGGCUUGAGUACUGGAGAGGAUAGCGGAAUUCCUGGUGUAGCGGUGAAAUGCGUAGAUAUCAGGAGGAACACCGGCGGUGUAGACGGCUGUCUGGACAGUAACUGACGCUGAGACACGAAAGCGUGGGGAGCAAACAGG
rnacentral:rRNA from 1 species